rnacentral:rRNA from 1 species
UGGGGAAUAUUGCACAAUGGGCGCAAGCCUGAUGCAGCCAUGCCGCGUGUGUGAAGAAGGCCUUCGGGUUGUAAAGCACUUUCAGCGAGGAGGAAGGUGGUGAGCUUAAUACGCUCAUCAAUUGACGUUACUCGCAGAAGAAGCACCGGCUAACUCCGUGCCAGCAGCCGCGGUAAUACGGAGGGUGCAAGCGUUAAUCGGAAUUACUGGGCGUAAAGCGCACGCAGGCGGUUUGUUAAGUCAGAUGUGAAAUCCCCGGGCUCAACCUGGGAACUGCAUUUGAAACUGGCAAGCUAGAGUCUCGUAGAGGGGGGUAGAAUUCCAGGUGUAGCGGUGAAAUGCGUAGAGAUCUGGAGGAAUACCGGUGGCGAAGGCGGCCCCCUGGACGAAGACUGACGCUCAGGUGCGAAAAGCGUGGGGCAGCAAACAGGAUUAGAUACCCUGGUAGUCCACGCUGUAAAACGAUGUCGAUUUUGGAGGUUGUGCCCCUUGAGGCGUGGCUUCCGGAGCUAACGCGUUAAAUCGACCGCCUGGGGAGUACGGCCGCAAGGUUAAAACUCAAAGGAAUUGAC